CAGAAGAAGUAUUUUUGUUGGAAGGUUGCCAUCCCAUCCAACAAAGAGUUUCUCCCCAAACGACGGAGCAGAGAUGGACCUUUGGAUUCAAUUCAUUUUUACUGUCUUACUUUCCAAAGGUGUCCAGGCAGACAUUUCUCUGAUAGAAUCAGGAGGUGCUGUGAAAAGGCCUGGAGAUUCCCUUCAGCUCACAUGUACUACGUCUGGUUUCAACAUAGACAGCUAUUGGAUGCAGUGGGUUCGGCAGGCUCCUGGAAAAGGGCUGGAGUGGGUCUCUGAAAUUAAAGGAGCAAAUACAAAUUUUGGACCUUCAGUGAAAGGUCGAUUCACAACCUCCACCGACAGCUCAAAAAACUUGGUUUAUCUAAAUAUGGGACAGCUGAAACCUGAAGACACUGCUGUUUAUUACUGUGCUAGACACACAGCGAGUGAAAGUGGAUUUGAGUAUUAUUAUUAU